rnacentral:rRNA from 1 species
UACGGAGGGUGCAAGCGUUAUCCGGAUUCACUGGGUUUAAAGGGUGCGUAGGAGUGCAGGUAAGUCAGUGGUGAAAUCUCCAAGCUUAACUUGGAAACUGCCGUUGAUACUAUCUGUCUUGAAUACAGUGGAGGUAGGCGGAAUGCGUCAUGUAGCGGUGAAAUGCUUAGAUAUGACGCAGAACACCAAUUGCGAAGGCAGCUUGCUACACUGUUAUUGACACUGAGGCACGAAAGCGUGGGGAUCAAACAGG